rnacentral:rRNA from 1 species
GGAAUUAUUGGGCGUAAAGGGCGUGUAGGCGGCUUCUUAAGUCCGGUGUGGAAGCCCACGGCUCAACCGUGGAGGGUCACUGGAAACUGGGGGGCUUGAGAGCAGGAGAGGAGAGCGGAAUUCCACGUGUAGCGGUGAAAUGCGUAGAGAUGUGGAGGAACACCAGUGGCGAAGGCGGCUCUCUGGCCUGGCUCUGACGCUGAGGCGCGAAAGCGUGGGGAGCAAACAGGAUUAGAUACCCUGGUAGUCCACGCCGUAAACGAUGAGUGCUAGGUGUUAGUGGGGCUACCCAUUAGUGCCGAAGGAAACCCAAUAAGCACUCCGCCUGGGGAGUACGGCCGCAAGGCUGAAACUCAAAGGAAUUGACGGGGGCCCGCACAAGCAGUGGAGCAUGUGGUUUAAUUCGAAGCAACGCGAAGAACCUUACCAGGGCUUGACAUCCCGCUGACCGGCGCAGAGAUGUGCCUUUUCCUUCGGGGACAGCGGAGACAGGUGGUGCAUGGUUGUCGUCAGCUCGUGUCGUGAGAUGUUGGGUUAAGUCCCGCAACGAGCGCAACCCUUGUCCUUAGUUGCCAGCAAGCGAGUUGGGCACUCUAAGGAGACUGCCGAUGACAAAUCGGAGGAAGGUGGGGAUGACGUCAAAUCAUCAUGCCCCUUAUGUCCUGGGCUACACACGUGCUACAAUGGCCGGUACAAAGGGCCGCGAACCCGCGAGGGGGAGCCAAUCCCAAAAAGCCGGUCUCAGUUCGGAUUGCAGGCUGCAACUCGCCUGCAUGAAGGCGGAAUUGCUAGUAAUCG